AGCAGCGCUCCACCUCCAACUUGACAUCAUGCUUUCUGGAAACUUCCCCGUAUGUCCCACUUUCCCACACUUGGUGCCCUGGAGCACCUUCCGGCCUCUACAUGCUGUACGUUCCCCUGUGAGCACCCUCCUCUCGGCCUCUGGCCAACACAGUCCCACCCAUCUGUGGGUAACAAGGGGGUGUGGGUGUUCUUUUCAGCCUUGCUAAACUGUCUGAAUCAAGGAUCACAAACUACAGCCUGCAGGCCAAAUCCAGCCCACAGCCUGUGUUUGUAAAUAAAGCUUUGUUGGAACAAAGCCACACCCCUU
rnacentral:lncRNA from 1 species